rnacentral:rRNA from 1 species
GGACUACCCGGGUAUCUAAUCCUGUUUGCUCCCCACGCUUUCGCGUCUCAGCGUCAGUCACUGUCCAGAAGGCCGCCUUCGCCACCGGUGUUCCUCUCGAUAUCUACGAAUUUCACCUCUACACCGAGAAUUCCGCCUUCCUCUCCAGGACUCCAGCUUCGCAGUUUCGAGUGCACUUCCUAGGUUGAGCCCAGGGCUUUCACACCCGACUUGCGAAGCAGCCUACACGCGCUUUACGCCCAGUAAUUCCGAACAACGUUUGCACCCUCUGUCUUACCGCGGCUGCUGGCAC